rnacentral:rRNA from 1 species
UACGGAGGGGGCAAGCGUUGUUCGGAAUUACUGGGCGUAAAGGGCUCGUAGGUGGCCAACUAAGUCGGACGUGAAAUCCCUCAGCUUAACUGGGGAACUGCGUCCGAUACUGGAUGGCUUGAGUUUGGGAGAGGGAUGCGGAAUUCCAGGUGUAGCGGUGAAAUGCGUAGAUAUCUGGAGGAACAUCAGUUGCGAAGGCGGCUCUCUGGACCAGCACUGACACUGAGGCACGAAAGCGUGGGGAGCAAACAGG